rnacentral:rRNA from 1 species
UACGGAGGGUGCGAGCGUUAAUCGGAAUACUGGGCGUAAAGCGCACGCAGGCGGUUUGUUAAGCAAGAUGUGAAAGCCCCGGGCUCAACCUGGGAACUGCAUUUUGAACUGGCAGACUAGAGUCUUGGAGAGGGGGGGUGGAAUUCCAGGUGAGCGGUGAAAUGCGUAGAGAUCUGGAGGAACUCAGUGGCGAAGGACGGCCCCUGGCCAAAGCACUGACGCUCAUGUGCGAAAGUGUGGGUAGCGAACAGGAUUAGAC